UUGUACACACCGCCCGUCACACCACGAGAGUUUGUAACACCCGAAGUCGGUGAGGUAACCUUUUAGGAGCCAGCCGCCUAAGGUGGGAUAGAUGAUUGGGGUGAAGUCGUAACAAGGUAGCCGUAUCGGAAGGUGCGGCUGGAUCACCUCCUUUCUAAGGAA
rnacentral:rRNA from 1 species